GCCCCUUUGGAUCACAAGUUUUGUUUCAUGCUUCUGACAACCGACAUUCAUUAGCAUAAAUUCAGUAGUGAAGAGUCUAAGCUCGGUCAAGUAUAUCGUUUGAAAUUUUACAUGAAGAUCUUAAGUUGGGAUAACAAAAGACGGAUAUGAGUGAUUGCUACAACGGAAGUCUAAAAUAAAAAUUUGACCCUAGCCUCAGCUCCGUCCCGUCAGCACCAGCCAGCCAACCUGAAAACAUUUGAAAGUAAUUUUGGGCUAAGUACUAAUGUACUUAGUGGGCAUGCAUUUUCUGAAACAUUUCUAUAUUUUUCGUAAAGAGCAGUUUAUCCAAUUAUACUUGACAUGACUUAGAGGUUUAAAUUGAAAGAACUUUUAAGCAUGUUAAACAUUUCUUUCAUUUGUGCGCACAUGUCACACUCCCUUUCUGUUACUCGCUGUGAUCCCGGACCUCUAGCCACCGACGGAUCCGUUUCUCCCAUUUACUUGAACUGAGGGCGUAACCCAGACAAGUUUACUUUUGACCUCGGGACGCUACCCAGGCAGGCCCUUACAUUACAUGCUUCGGAACACAUCCCGGAAGCACCCUUAUAACGCCUCUUAGUUAGUGCCCGAUGGAGAUCAACCCACCGAGUCAGCUAACGAGUGUACACAAUUCUCAAAUAACGUGUUAGGCCAUAAGAGAACCUCAAUUGAUUCGUUGUGGCGAGCCUUAAACAGAGUAGAGUGCACAUAAACAUUUUAUUGGAUAAACAGUUUGCAUUUCAUUAAAUAAACAGUUUGCAUUUCAUUGAAACAUUUAGAGCUUAAUAACUCAAUCAUACUUUAUACAUUUGGAAAGUAAGCCCACCUGGAUAGGCAAAGCCUGAAGAUCAUAAUCACAUAAACUCGUCUUGGGAAAGCGGCGCUAAUCCCCUUGGUUCAUAAAGCCUACAAGAAAUUCUAUUCUUAAUAGGUCUCCUUGAAUCUAAUCUUAAAGUCAUGGUGUAGUGCUUAAUAUUCUAUGAUUCACUUAGCCGGGUUUUCAAAAUUUAAUGAAUAAAUAAUUGAAAACUAAAAUUCUUGAGUUAAGGACACCAACAAUAUCCUUACUCGACUUUCUUUAAUAAUUGGAAUUAUAAAUAAAACCAAUUAAAUCAUAAAUACUUUUAUUGCAAAAUAAAAUGCAAUUUCAUGUCAUGCUUAGCAUAUAAUAAGUAAUUACUUAAAAUAUGCACAUAAUAAUAAUUUAAUAUUAUUAUGAAAAUUAAAAUAAUUAAUCAAACUUAAUAAGUCUAAUUAAUUAAAAUAGUGCAGUCCAUUUAAAAGAAGAAGCUGCACAGCCCAAAUGAAUAAAUUAAGGGCCCAAGGAAUUAAAUAAAAACAAUCAGCCCAACUGAUAAAAUUUAAAUAAAACUCGGCCCACCACUCGGCCCAACACUCAAAGCCCGACAGCCAAACCCUAGCCUAGCCCAACAUAAAAGCCCAACCCCCAAUUUCUAUUUCUCCUUCCUUCAUCAGUCACGCCUCCUCCCUUCUCCCUAUCAGUCGGACGCACAUCAGUCUCCCUCUCUCGACUGAUCGUCCCUCCCUCUCAACUGCUCUUCCGUCUCUCCUCUCGAAAUCUCACCGCCGUCGAAACUCGCCAGAGCAAGCGGCGACAGGCUCCAGCUCCCUUCUCUCUUCUCCAUUUUUUUCGGCGACUGCAGCGACAGCCACCGCCCCAGCCCCUGCUCCCGAUGGCCGAUGACCCCCAGGCCGCCGCCGCCCUCUCCUUCCCCGUUCUUCACCGUGGCUAGGCAGCAACGGCAGAGCCGCAGUGCCUGGCCUCCCUCUCUGACUCCCGCCGACGAGCAGCAGCCGGAGCCGCCCGCAGCCUCCUCCCUUCUCUCCCUCCGUCCGUGGCCGGACGACAGCGGCAGGGCCGCCGCGCCCUGGUCUCCCUCUGUGAAAACUCAGCCCAGACCAGUCACCCAUCCCCCUACUCUCUGUUCACUCCGGCCGACAGCAGUUGAAAAACCACCGCCGCCGACCGCAUCUGCCUCCCUCCACUCUCGACUCAAUUCAACAGUAACCGCUCAAACACGACAAGCACAAACUAAGCUCAAGACUCCUUCUCUCUUUUUUUUUUUUUGGCAGAAUAUGCUUAAAAUCAAGGAACAAAUUGAUGCUUCAAGAUUCAACCUUUUCUUUUAUAAAACAUGCUCUGCUGUAUGUAUAUGAAUAUAUGAAUGUCAUUCUAAUUGAAAUGCUUGAAAUGUGUUGCUGGGUAUAUUACAAAUGUAUAUGGCUUCGAACAAGUUUGCAACUUGAAAGCUCGAUUUAUGAGCAGAGGUAAAAAGAAGUUAAGUGGCUACCUUGUGAGAAAUUUUCAAUGGAUGUUCUUGUUUGAUUGUUGGCUCUGCACUUGGAGAGAGGAGAACGUUGGAACUGCUGAAGGUUUGCAAAGAGAGUUACAGAUAAUUUGCUUUAGGGUGCUUUGGUUUUGCAGAGAAGUGGGGAUUGGACAGCCUGACUUUUGGGGGCUGAAAUUGGGAGCUACUGUAGGGUAGGGUGGCUGAU
rnacentral:lncRNA from 1 species